UACUACUUAUCAUCAUCAUCAUCAUCAUUUUUACAAACGAGUAAACCAAGAGCAAAGAGGGACUAUAUAAUGUAUCCCAAGUUUCAUGAGAAUUGAGGCCACAGGACAAAGAACUGCACCCACAAUGGAAGACACAGAAAAUCAAAGACAAAGAAAAAAUAUUGAAAGAAGUCAAAGAAUAAAACACCUUACCCAUAGAGAAGCAAGAAUAAAAAUUACACCAGACUUCUUCAGAAACCAUGCACACAAGAAGACGUUGAAGUGAAAUACUUAGCAUGUUAAAAAACAAAAAACCCAACCAUCAACCUAGAUCCAACCUGUAUCCAGCAAAAGUUGCCUUCAAAAGUGAAGACAUAAGACUUCCUUAAGCAAACAAAAAUUGAGGACACUUGUUACCAGUAAAAUUGCUUUCCAACAUGUGUAAAAUAGAAAUUCUAUAGAAAGGAAGAAAAUGAGAUGACAGAAACUCAGAUCUACAUAAAGAAAGAAAUAGUAUUG